UCCCCGCUUCUCCUCCCUGAGCGGGUGCCUGUCGUUAUUCGAUUAGGCUGUUCACCCGCCGUACUGCGGCGGGUUUUUUGU
rnacentral:ncRNA from 1 species